GGCGGAUGUAGCCAAGUGGAUCAAGGCAGUGGAUUGGGAA
rnacentral:tRNA from 1 species